CACAGGGGGGACAAGUAUUAUUCUACAUGAUUGGGCGUAGAGGAUAAGUAGGUUGUUUUUUUAAUAUUAAUAAAAAUCCUAUAUUAAAAUUAUAGAAAAUUUAAUAUAUUAUAAAACUAAGAGUUUAUAAAAGAUAAUAGAAUCCAUAUAAGUAACAGUGAAAUGUUUUAAGAUUAUGGAGAAUUUCAAAUAGCGAAAGCAGUUAUCUAGUUAAAACUGACACUAAAUUAUGAAGGUAUAGGUAGCAAACAGG
rnacentral:rRNA from 1 species